rnacentral:rRNA from 1 species
GAUGAACGCUAGCGGCAGGCCUAACACAUGCAAGUCGAGGGGUAGAACACUUCGGUGUUUGAGACCGGCGCACGGGUGCGUAACGCGUAUGCAAUCUACCUUGUACAGGGGAAUAGCCCAGAGAAAUUUGGAUUAAUGCCCCAUAGUAUAUAACCUUCGCAUGUUGGUUAUAUUAAAGUUCCAACGGUACAAGAUGAGCAUGCGUCCCAUUAGUUAGUUGGUAAGGUAACGGCUUACCAAGACGAUGAUGGGUAGGGGUCCUGAGAGGGAGGUCCCCCACACUGGUACUGAGACACGGACCAGACUCCUACGGGAGGCAGCAGUGAGGAAUAUUGGUCAAUGGGCGCAAGCCUGAACCAGCCAUGCCGCGUGCAGGAAGACGGUCCUAUGGAUUGUAAACUGCUUUUAUACAGGAAGAAACAACUCUACGUGUAGAGUCUUGACGGUACUGUAGGAAUAAGGAUCGGCCAACUCCGUGCCAGCCGCCGCGGUAACAC